GCUGCAGGAUGACAUCAUGACACAGAGUUAGCUAGGUCAUAAAUGCCUCCAAAGCAUGUUAUCUUACUGAAGUGAUAACUAGAUGUGACAGAAGCAGACCUGUGUGGGUGUGUUCAGGCUUGCCACAAAGCCUCCCCCACCCACCAACCUACACAAACAUACAAGCCAUUUCAGUUGAGCCAUAGAUAACACAAGAUUGUUGCAACACAACGGAUUGACUUCACCCCUGGAGAAACACCCCACUUUCUCUUGACACAGAUGGAUGCCAGCAACAACAACGAAAUCUAUACUGCAACACACUUACUAUCAAAGAGACUUUCUGGUUCA